rnacentral:rRNA from 1 species
UGAGGGAUGAGGCCUUCGGGUUGUAACCUCUUUCAGCAGGCAAUAAGCGAAAGUGAAGGUACCUGCAGAAGAAGCACCGGCUAACUAUGUGCCAGCAGCCGCGGUAAUACAUAGGGUGCAAGCGUUGUCCGGAAUUAUUGGGCGUAAAGAGCUCGUAGGUGGUCGAUCACGUCGGAUGUGAAAAUCUGAGGCUUAACCUCAGACCUGCAUUCGAUACGGGUUGACUAGAGUGUGGUCGGGGAGACUGGAAUUCCUGGUGUAGCGAGUGGAAUGCGCAGAUAUCAGGAGGAACACCGA